rnacentral:rRNA from 1 species
UACGUAGGGUGCAAGCGUUGUCCGGAAUUACUGGGCGUAAAGGGCUCGUAGGCGGCCAACUAAGUCGGAUGUGAAAAUCCCCAGGCUUAACCUGGGAACUGCAUCCGAUACUGGAUGGCUUGAAUCCGGGAGAGGGAUGCGGAAUUCCAGGUGUAGCGGUGAAAUGCGUAGAUAUCUGGAGGAACACCGGUGGCGAAGGCGGCAUCCUGGACCGGCAUUGACGCUGAGGCGCGAAAGCUAGGGGAGCAAACGGG